AUGCUCCACGCCGCACGGAGGCGGACACCGCCGCUCCCUGCCAGGCUCGCCGCCGCCUUCUUCGCCGCCAAGCCCCAGCCCCAGCCGCCCGCCCUGUCGCCGCAGAUCGUCGAGGCCGCCGUAUCCCGCUGCCCUUCCGACGCCCUCGCGCUCUCCUUCUUCCUCUGGUGCGCCCGCCGCCCCGCCUACUUCCACCCGCCCUCGUCCUUCGACCGCGUCCUCCCUGCCGCCACGCGCCUCGCGUCCCGCCUCGCGUCCCGCCUCGGCACCGCCCCCGCGCUCCUCCGCGAGCUCCAGAGCCUCGGCUGCCCCAUCAGGCCCCACACCUUCCUGCUCCUGCUCAGGCUCUACUGGCGCGGCGGCCUGUACCCGCUCGUGCUCCACCUGUUCGACGAAAUGCCCCGCUGGGGCUUCCACCACAACGCCUUCGCGCGCAAUGUCGUCCUCGACGUACUGCUCAGGACCGGCUGCGUCGAUGAUGCGUUGCGCUUCGUGCAGGGCAACCCGUCGCCCAACUACCUCACCUAUGCCAUUGUCCUGACUCAUCUCUCCAGAGCCAGGGAUUGGUCAGGGUUGCGCGUCUGUUUCACAGCUAUGCUGAGCCAAGGUUUUCUCCCCAGCGCCACUUCUCUCGCCUCGGUCUUUGCCUGUUGCAGUAAGGCUGGUACCAUGGCCGAGCUACAACAGCUGCUGUCCUAUGCGCUUGUCUCGGGCCAGCAGCUCAGUCCGGCCAUGUGGACGUGUCUCAUCGCUCGUAUGUGCAGUGAGGGAAGGCUAGAUGAGGCCUGUAAAACUCUUGGAAAUAUGGUGCGUUCUGGCUCUUCACCAACAGUGGUGACUUACACACCGCUUGUCAGAGGUCUCUUCCGAGCUGGGAGGCAUGACAUUGCCAGUGAGCUGCUGGGAUCCAUGGCAUCCGACGGUUGCACCCCAGACCUUGUUAUGUAUAAUGUUCUGAUGGACUGCAUGAUGAGGGAGAGGAGGUACGAUGAGGCCAUAGACAUCUACCUACAUCUUCAUGGGAGCCAGAUAAAGCCGGAUGCAUACACUUUGUCUACUUUGGUUCAGGUAUUGCAGUUGUCACGGAACAUAGAUCUUCUCCCUAGGUUAAUCCUGGGCUUGGAUAUCUCUUAUGAUCUUGUGGCUUGCAAUUCUAUGCUGAGUGCUCUGUGCAAGUCAGGGUUUCCAUCCGAAGCCCUUCACUUCUACAUCGAUAUGAUUGGUUUGGGCAUCAGGCCAGACAGCUACAGUUAUGUUGGAUUGUUGGAUAGUUUGUGUCACUUGGGAAGGAUAGAUCAUGCAGUCAACCUCUACCGCAGUGUUGUCACAAGCAAUCCUGAUUCAGACGCCUACGUCCAUGCAGCCAUCCUCCGUGGCCUUGUUAGAAGGGGCCAGAACAUAAUGGCAUUUAGGAUUCUCAGGGAGGCUGUGCGUCAAAAUUAUGCACUUGAUACCGUGUGCUACACCAUUGUUCUGCAUGGUCUAUUCCGAGGUCAUUUUGUUCAAGAGGCUCGUGAUUUGUUUGACAAGAUGAAGGAUUCAGGAGUUGCUUCCAACACUUGUACAUACAAUGUAAUGCUUCGUGGACUGUGUAGAGCCAGGGAUAUGCUUGCAGUCACGCAGUUACUAACAGAAAUGGAAGGCGCCAAUGUUCACAUGGAUAGUACCUCAUUCAACGUGGUAGUUGUGCUCUUAGUCAAAUUGCAGCGCAUCAGUUCGGCAACAGCUUUGAUCAGAGAAAUGCUCAAUCUAGGCAUGAAACUUAACACCAAAACUUGCUGGUUACUUUCUCAAUCAAUUGGUCAUAGAUUCGUUUUGGAGGAUUCUAUCAGUGCUGAAAGUGAUGUGUCUGACUCAACAUGCGAUCUGCUUGUAUGCUCAGCUUCAUAG
rnacentral:rRNA from 1 species